UAAUACCCGGGGACCGAGUGAUGGCCAGUAUUAUUUGGUCUAAAGCGUCCGUAGCCGGUUCAACAAGUCCCUAGUGAAAUCUUUCAGCAAACUGAAAGGCGUGCUUGGGAUACUUUUGAACUUGAGACUGAGAGGGGAUAGGGAUACUCUUAGGGUAGGGGCAAAAUCCUGUAAUCCUAAGAGGAUCACCAGUGGCGAAGGCGCCUAUCUGGAACAGGUCUGACGGUGAGGGGCGAAGGCUAGGGGAGCGAUUGGGAUUAGAUACCCCAGUAGUCCUAGCAGUAAACGAUGCCCGCUUGGUGUUGCAGGCUUCUCGGGAGCUUGCAGUGCCGGAGCGUAGGUGUUAAGCGGGCCACCUGGGAAGUACGGUCGCAAGGCUG
rnacentral:rRNA from 1 species